ACGUGGUGCUGAGCGGCCUGCUGGAGAAGUGCUGCCGGCCGAGGGCCGGGUGCGCAGGCUGGCGGGCCAGGCGCGGAGUCUGCAGCGUCAGCAGCAGCCCAAGGCCGCGCUGCUCAGGUGCGGCCAAGCCCUGGACCUGGGAAAAUGCCAACAACUAACACCGUAGAGGCGCACAACGGAGGCCUUGGGACAUGGCAGGAUGUGCUUUGAAGGAAUUCAGGAAAGAUUCCCUUCCACUGCUUUUAUUACUUCAUACUGUCAGGCUCCGUUUCCUCUCAAAAAAAAAAAAAAAAAGGUGCUAUGGUGUAAUUAGCUUAUUAGUUAUGCUAACCAGUGCUGUGACCUUUUAAUUUUUAAAUUUUUUGUAAAUGGAAGUCUAUAAGGAACUCCCUCCUUGCGUCCUCCCCAACCUCCACCACCUGUUAAGAAUACAUAAUUUAAAGGAAGACCAAACUUUCAGCCAAUGAUUUCGGCUCCCAAAGAGUGUGCUUUAUUGACAAUUGUUUUGGGGAGAGAAGUGUGUGUGUGUGGAGGGUGAUUUGUUUUCUGAAUUCACUGGCUUUGUCACGGUGUAUAGAUGAUUUAAAUCACUAGUAAAGACGACUUGGCUUAAUCUUUCGUUAUUAAGAGUCUUCUUGUGUGCUAUAGUCAGAAUGUAUUUUAUUUUAAAUUUAGGGGUAAGGUUUUCUCUUUUAGAAGGCAUACCUGUAUCUAAGUUGGGAGAUUUCUCUGCUGGAGUAAGCAGUUAAAUUGCUUUAUAUAACAGGUACUCUGUACUAUUUUUACAACCAACAUAUUCACACUUUAACAGGCUGUGUGUUUUUGAGUUUCCUACUAUUUUGUUUAUGACAGUGUGGUGUGGAGCCUCCUUGUCCAGAAGAAAUAUUGUGUAAGCCACACAUAUAAUUUAAAAUUUUUUCUGGUAGCUAAAUGUAAGUGGUUGGAAGGAAGCAGGUGAAAUUAAUCUUAAUGAUUUUUAACCUUACACAUUCAAGGUGUUAUUAUUUCAGCAUACCUUCAUUUAAAAAGAAAGACUGAGAUUUCACUGCCUUUAAAGAAAAAAACUAUCUUUGAAAUCCAUUGUGUAUUUUACAUUUACUGUCUACCUCAAUUUGGACACUGAAUUUUCAUCAGAAACACUUAUGCUACACUUAGAUUCCAUGAAAUGUAGAGUUGAAAAAAUAAACUCACUUUGUGAAGUUGUUUCAAAUUAGGUUUUCCACUGACUGAACAGAGUCUCUGUUUUUUAAACUUUGGUUUCAAAUAAUUAAAAUUACAUAGGAUGAAUAACUUAGUUCCUUGUUGUUCUAGCCCCUUCUCAAGUGCCCUGUAGCCACAUGUGGCUAGUGGCUACUGUGUCAGACAGUACAAGUAUGGAACUUUUCAAAACUUUGCUGGAAAUGUAAAAGAUCACAGUACCAGCUGUUGGAGAUGUAUAACACGAGAACUACCGUAUGCUGCUGAUGGGUCUGCAAAUUAUACCCCUGGAAAAUUGUUUGGUAGUAUCUGAAAAUGUUAAAUAUGACCUUUGGCCAAGUACUUUCAAUGAGGCACGUGCAUAUGUGCACUGAAGGCAUGUAUAAGAAUAUACAAGCGUGUGUAUCAUUAUUAGAGAUAGCCCCAAAGUAGAAAGAACCCAAAUGCCCAAUAAUAGCUGAAUGAAUGGGUAAGUAUAUUAUGAUGCCUUUUGGAAUACAGACAGAAAAUAAACCACCUGGUUGCACACUGUAUUGUGGAUGAAUUGCAGACAUAAUGUUAAGAGAAAGAAGCCAGACUCAAAAGCAUUUUUACUGUAUGAUUCUAUUUAUCUGUAAGUCCAAACAGGCAAAAUUACUACGGCCUGUUAGAAGUAAGGGCAGUGGUUACCUUUGGGGGAGAAAACAGAGAAUGUGAAUUGUGAGGAAGUAGGAGGAGGACCUGAGUGGCAGUAGUGAUGUUAUGUUUAUUGACCUAGAAGAUGGCUUCAUAGGUAUGUUCACUUUGUGAUAGUUCAUUGAACACUAAAUUUAUAAUUUGUGGCUUUUCUGUGUGUAUAUUAGACCUCAGUUUAAAAGUCGUAAACAAAUUUUUGCAGUCAGCUCAUCUUGAGAACUUACAUUCAGUAUGCUCAGUAUUCAUUUUCCUUUCAAAGAUUAGAAAAGAAAGGCAAAGUUCUCUAGUUUAAAAUUUAUGGAAUGUUUUUCAUACUAAAUUAGCCCCCAAAAAGGGCUUGAUAUAGUAAAAAAGGUUACAGGUUUUUGUUGGUUUUUUUUUUUGACUUCAGAAAUACUUGUGUUUAGAUCUGAGCCCUGAUAUGUACUUAUUAUGUGACCUUAGUCAAGUGUGGUAAUCAUUAAUGCAAUUCCCCAAGUAUUUCUAUCUUAUACCUUCCCCAAACAAGGUAGGAUUGCAUUCUUGGACUCAUUAUGGUUGGGUGGAGCCUUGUGACUAAUUUUGGUCUGUAAGUUGUGAGUAGGAUUCAAAAUAACUAAUAAACAUGUUAAAGAAAACAGAAAUAUGUGUAUGAAAAAUAAAGAAUUCAAUAGAUAGCCAUCUGUAAAAAAGAACCAAAUGGGUAUUUUAGAACUCUCAACAUCUGAAGUUGAGAACUAAUUAGAUGGAUUAAAACUGAGUAGACACAUAUGUGAGAUACAGACAAAAGUUCUAAAAUCUGUGAAAUUUGAAUCUCAGAAGAGGGGAGAGGGAAAAAAGCAAGAGAAAUAUUUGAAGAAAAAUGGUUGAGAAUUUUCCAAAUUUGACAAGAAACUUUAAGCAGUUCAGUUAAGCCCAAAGGGAUAAAUACAAACACUCACAGGAUAAACACACUAGCAGGAUAAACAAAACAUACCGAAGCAUGUUAUAGUCAAGUUUCUGAAAAUAAAGAGAAAUAUAAAAGCAGUUAGAGAACACAGGACAUUUUCCUUCAAAGGAGCUAUAAUAAGACUGAAAGCUGAUUUUUUUAAAAAAAACAUUAAAACUAGAAGAUAAUGGAAUAACAUCUUCAAAGUGCUGAAAGGUGGUAGGUAGGAAGAGCUUACCUGGAAUUCUUUACCCAGUUGCAAAUAUCUUUAAGAAUUGAAGACAAAAAUAUAGAUGUUUUAUCCAAAUAAAUAAAUAAAGGCAAAGGACUUUUAUUGCCAUCAGAAUUGUACUACAUGAAAUACAGGGGAAUUCUUUAGGCUAGAGGAAAAUGUCCAGAUGGAGGCAUACCACUAAAGGAAGGAAUGAAGACCCAUAAAAAGGGUAAAUAUAUGAAUAAAUGUAAGAUAAUAUUGAUUAUUUCAAACCAUAACAAUAAUAUUUUGUUGUAUUUAUAACAUAGGUAAAAGUAAAACAUGGCAAUAGCACAAAGUCAGGUUGAGUAAAUAAAGUAAAUGGUUUUAUGGUCUGUGUAUCUUUUUGGAUGUGGUAAAAGUACUAAUUUAAAGUUACUGAUAAAUCAACUUUGCACAUUUCAAUCUCUUGGGUAGCCACUGAAAGGAUAAUGAAAGCUAAAAUUACAAAGCUAUGGUGGAAUAAUUAAGAAAUACUUGAUUUCUUCCAAAAGAAAGUAAAAAGGAAGAAUAAAAUGAUAGUGAAUAAAUGAAAUGAUUAGAAAAGAAAUUAAAAAAUGGGACUUACCUUGCAUUCAAUGUACAUAUACAUUUAGGUAUUCCACUUAAAAUUCAACUAUUGGCAGACUAGAUUAAACAAAACAGUUACAUGAGAUACACAUGAGAUAAACCUUAGAUAGAAUGACACAAAAGGGUGGAAAUUAAUAGGAUGGGAAAAGAUGCUCUACAAAGACUGUCCAAAAGAAAUAUGAUAUGGCAACAUUGCUAUGGGAUGAGGUAGUCUCUAGGGCAAGGGGCAUCAUGAGAGAUGGGAAUAUUGUGACAAAGAGGUCAAUUCAACAGAAAAUAUGUAACAUUCCUAAGUAUGUAUGACUCUAAAAUCAGGUGUGUACAAGCACACAGAGCAAAAGGUGACAAAACUAAAAAGAGAGAUAUUUGGAGAGUUUGAAUAAAAGUCUUAGUAGCUAAUAAAAUAAGUAUAGAAAAAUAAGGAUAUAGAUUGAGACAACAUACUUCAGCACAUUGAUUUAAUUAAUGUAUGGCACUGCAUACAAUGAUGGAAUAUGCCAUCUGUCAGGAUCACAUGAUGACAAGCAGGUAGACUUGGCCUCUGGUUAUAUUUGCCAACCCUUUGGUUAGGCCAUAAAACAAAUAGCAACAAAUAUUAAGAUUAAAUCAGACCGUAUAUGUUCCUUAAACACUGUGGACUUGAACUAAUAUUCAGUAGCAAAUAACUAGAAUAUUUUCAAAUAUUUUGAAAUAAAGCAAUACAUUUUUGUAUAAUAUAUAGGUCAAGUAAGAAUUCACAAUGAAAUUAGAAAAUAUUUUAGCUGAAUUAUAAUGAAAAUAUAAGUAUCAAAACUGAGAUGCCACUGCAAUAGUGUUUAGAGGGAAAUGUAUUGCUUAACAUGCCCGUGCCACAAAAGAACAGUUGGGAAUUGGUGAUCUUCAGGCUUCUGUUUCAAGAUUCCAGAGGACUAUAAGCAAAUUGAGUCCAGAGGAAGUAGAAAUAAGGAAAUAAAGGUAAGAGGAAAAAAAUGACAAUAAAGGAAAAAUACAGUCCAGCAUUUCUUAUGACCAUACAUGCAGAAAUCCUAAAACAAAAAUAUUAGUAAACUGAGUCCAGUGAGACACUUAAAGAACAGAACAUUGUGAUUAAGUCGAAUGUUACUGUGUUUAAUCAUUGUAAGUCAACCAGUGUAAUUCACUGUAACCACAGAAUAAAGGAGAAAAUCAUAUGACCUGUGUUAAAAUCUCUGAGAAAACUAGGAAAAAAAGGAAACUUUCUCAGUAUGUUAACAAGUAUCUACAAAAAUCUAUUCCAACCGUCAUGACUGAAGAUGAAAUAUUAAAUGUUUUCCUGCUGAAGCAAAAGGUGACAAGGGUGUUCUCUGUCAUCACUGCCAUUCAACAUUGUACUGAAGAUCCUAGCUAAUGCAGUGAGGAGAAAAGAAAAAAGAAGAUUGGAAAAAUACAAGAAGCCUGUUGCUAUUUGUAGAUGACAUGUUGCAGUACAUAGAAACUCCACAGGAAUAUUUGAACUAUCAGAAAUUAUAAAGGAAUUAUCAAGAUUGUUGAAUAUAAAGUCACUAUAAAAAGAUCAAUGAUUACCAUAUAUUUAGCAAAAAAUAAAUAGAAAACAAAAAUUUAAAACAACCCCUUCAUAUAACAAAAAAAAAA